GCCCGCCGCCCGCGACCCCCCCUCUCGCAUCUCUACUACCCAACCCCCCCGUCGAGCUGCGCCGUCCGGCUCGUCAUGAUCCAUGUCCCGCUAUGAUCUCGGAGGCAGAUGCGGUUCCCGCCAGCUGCGUUGCCUGCCUACUGGGGGACCGGCGAUCCCACUUCUAAGGGCUAGAUUUGUUGCUGGUUCGGUCCGUUCUGGGGAUGUAGAUGUGUUUUAGUGUAUGGGGGUUGUUGAUCAUGGGCAGGCGUCUUCGUCCUGGAUUUUGCUGCAGCUGAGCUGUAGUAUUGUUUUCUGAAUGUAAGUGCUAGUGUUGUGUCUAGGUAGCAAAUGUGCGGGUUGGGAUCUGCAGUAAAAUUCGCCAAAGUAGAGUGACCCGUUGUGCAUGGUUGCUGAUUCAGUAACUUAGAGCUUUCCUUCGAUUAUUAGGGUUUUAGAUUUCUCAUGUUUAACUGGCAAACAGUAUAAUAUGGACUUGACACAUUGGUUUACUCAGUGUAAGAUUGGAUGAGUCAAUUCCAAUUAUUCUUCACUUUACUAGGGUUUUGGGUUAUCUAUUCUCUUGCAAGGGGUUGAUUAUGUGUUUCAUGGUGUACUUUUGCUGAGUGGUAUUGCAAAAAUCAUAUAUACCCAAGCUUCAAAAGAUCGAUUGCCUCGUUAGUCAGUAGCUGUCUUCUCUUAUGUAGAGUCUUCAGUAUAUAUAAAUUAAGAAAAUAUAUAAACAAGUUAAAAGUGGCUGGAUUUUGUUACCAUGAAGACUGAAGUGACUGAAAUGGAGAGUAGUGCAAACACUUGACUAAGUGCUAUCCUGCUAUUUUUUCUAAUUCAGUAUCAAAUCAUAUAAUCAGUGAUUCCGUAAAACCAGAUACAUUCAGUAUCAAAUCAUAUAAUCAGUGAUUCCGUAAAACCAGAUACAUUUUGUUCAUGUUAGAUACUCAAUUCAAGUCCCAUGACUGCCUUUUAUAUCUGUGGUUAAUUAAUUCUAGCAGUUUUGAAGGCAGGCUAUUAACAGUAGCACUAAAACAUUAUUAAGCAAACAAGUCAUGCUACUUUGUCUUUAUGAUGCAAUCUGCAGAUCAAAGUGCUCUCUGUUUUUCUGAUGCAUAUAUAUGUUUGUAGUAGAUAGAGUAAUCCUAUGGUUAAUUACUUGCUGCUAUAAUUUACAGAGUACCAAACUGCAGCUUGCUAUUUUGUUAAAGUGAAAGUUAUACUAGUCAAAAGAGCCUUUUGGUCUGUCUAAACUGGGAAUAGUGGUGUCUGCCCAGCAGUAAUUGAUAUAUGUCCUUUCACUCCAUUACUUGGUCACCAUUAUAUCUUGUAACUGUUCAAUUUAUUUGAGCAUCGAUAAUUUUGGUAUUUAUUGAAUUAUUGAAGCUAUCCUUGUAUUUUCUUAUUUUUUUAAAAAAGAAAAUAUAUUUUAGUUGGCUAUUCAGUUUAUCCCCAAAGUUAGCAUCUGUGCUUUACAGAAUUAGCACGGAGCAUGAAAAGUUUGGUUUUGAAGUCAACAAAAUCAUUGGUUUGUAGGAAAGAUACGAAAUAAUGAGGAAUUAGAUGUCUAAAGUUAUUUUCCAGAGUGCACUAGUCAUCUGUUGAUGUAAGUUAUUUUCCAGCUACUUUUGUUGGUUAAUCAUACUAGUAGGAUGGGUCUAGCUAAAGUAGUGAAAAUCUGAAUUUUAUUUGUAAAGGAUGUGUUUCCUGAACUACACAAACUAUGAAUGAACAAUCUUCAAGUUUAUUUCCUGUAACAAAUGUGGUAGGCCUAGAUAGUUUACUUCUACUCUUUGUAUAUUUGGAUGAUGACUAUGACUUAUGUGAUGUGGUCAGAUUUGGUAUUAUAUAUAUGCUGUGUUGUGGUUCGAUUAGAUUUGAAAUUAUAUAGGCUGUGCUAACUGCUUUAUUAAAGUUUGAUUAUUGUAAUUUUUUUUUGCUGUAGUAGUGUCUUUGCUGAGGGCCCUAGCAAUAGCCCUCGUCAAAGAUUUUUUUUAAAAAAUCCUGAACAUUUCUUUGCCGAGGGCCAGGGAUGAGGCCCUUGGCAAAGGUCUUUUUUUAAAAAAAAAUAAAAUAUAUCUUUGCCGAGGGCCUGGGGAAAGCCCUCGGCAAAGUUUUUUUUAAAAAAAAAACAUUUCUUUGCCGAGGGUCGGCCCUCGGCAAAGAAACUGCUAACAGUGUCGGCGCCGUGACGGCUGCUUUUCUUUGCCGAGGGCCAGUCUUGACCCUCGGCAAAGGCUUUGCCGAGUGCCCGAUAAAGGGCCCUCGGCAAAGACCCCCUUUGCCAUCUAAAAAUUCCCCGAGGGGUCUUUGCCGAGGGCAGCCCUCGGCAAAGGCUUUGCCGAGGGUUUUUUUGGCCUUUGAGCAUGUGAGUCCAGUAGUGAUGGCUGAUAUUCCAGUCAUGUUGUACCGGCUCAUGGACCGACAAGACCCUCACGCCAACGCCACCUACAUCUACACCAACACCACGCAUGAAGAAGUAAAACGAAGAUCAAUGACGACGACCAACACAGCUUAAUCAGAGGUACCCUGUGAGCUUGACUCGUAGGGGUAAUUAACUAGGAGCUUUCUGAGGCCCUAGGAACCAUGAAGACCACGAUCGCCUAAGCUAGAUCACCGCCAUCAGGAUAUGGAGCGCACACUUGUACCAGGGGACUUAUAUUUGUAUUUUCCUUAAAUAUGAAUAAAAUUUGUGUUUCUUUUAUUUAUUUAUUUAUUUAUUUUGUGUACUUUAGUACAUUGGCACGCCCGCGUGUUUUAUUUUCUUUGUGAUGGAGAAAUAUUAUUUUUUCUGUCCAAACAGUAGCAUAUGUCCUCCUUUUGCAUGUGAUUUGACUAAAUAGCUUGCUUGUCAUCCUCUGCCAGUUUCAUAAUAUUCCUAUCCUUGUUUUGCAUAAACACUGGUUUUUUGAGACACAGUCAAACAUUAAUGUUAGGAUAAUGUCUUGUUUCACACAUGUCUAUGGUCGUGUGUGUUUCUGAAACUGCUAUAUAUGGACUGUAUUAUACAUAUAUAUUUUUGAGCACGACACUCAAGUUAGUGUUUCCAUGGUACUGCUAGCACAUUUAUGAAUGAACAUCUUUUAAUUAUGUACAGAAGCUGACCAUUCUGGCUUGCUCUGCCAUCUAUUAGCAUAUCAGUGCACAAUCUAGACUCAUGUUUUAGGAAUGCAUCUUUAUGUCAGCUCUCCCUUCCCUCCCUCUUCCCCUUGUUUAAUAUUUUUUUAAAAAAAAAUUAUCUCCCGGUAACCCAUACUAAUACUACUGCUCUCCCUUCCCUCCUCCUCCCUCCCAUCCUGCAUUUCUUAGACUAAGGUACAGUAACACAUUUUGAGAGGCUAUUUAUAGUUAAACAGAAACAAUAUAAACUACAAGCAAAGAUGGCUUAGUCUUGAUCUAUAUAUGCCAUAGCCCUUCUAUAAUUAUAUUUUCAUGAUAGGGUUCCAUCCUCUCUAUAUCAGUUUGUUGUUUAGUCAAUUUGUUAUAGCCACCUACCUCACCUUAGUUGUUUUUACUUCGAGUGCCAGCUUGCAAUACUGGAUUGCACCUUGAAUUUUGUUGAUCGCUCUUUAGGAAUUGGCUUGCUGGUUUGCCAAUUUAUGUAGUUACUUUCAAUUUCUAGAUGGUAUUUAUAAGCAUAGGUGGAUGACGCAAUGAGGGAGUACAGUAAAAAUAGGUGAUCCGUUCCUCUGCUUUCGUAGAGAUUAGGUAACCACUAAUAUCACCUCUUUCCUUUUGUUUUGAUUUUUCAACCUAUGAGCUAAAGGGAAAGACUUUAUUUCCUUUUCUUGGUUUAGCAGUGUCAAUCCAUAGGAUGAACUUUAUUGUUUUGUCAACAACGAACAAGGAUUAGUUUUUGUUUCUUGCUGUCAAAAAGGGGGAAUUCAGAUCCAAACUUCAAUUCUCUUGUAAAAGCAUAUGUACACUUCGUUUAGCAGUGUCAAUCUGUAGGAUGGACUUUAUUGUUUUGUCAACAACGAACAAGGAUUAGCUUUAGUUUCUUUUUGUAAGAAAAGGGGAAUUCAGAUUCAAACUUUAAUUCUCUUGCAAAAGUAUAUGUAUACUUCGUUUUACCAAUAUUGCUAAUUUCCAUUUCCUGCUCAUUCAUCCUAUCCUUUUUUUAUAUUGAUGGCAUGUUGGCAAGGCGGGAGAACACUGAAGCACAUGAACCCAAUGUAUUCUGUUCAAAAGAUCUUGUGAUCAUGUAGGUUUUAGGUGUCAGAUUGUAGUACUAUAUGACACAACUUCACACUAGCUAUUUAGUUGCUUAGAUUUGCUUAAAAAAGAUGCUAUGGUUAUGUCCUACAAAUGUGUCCUUACCUCAGCAGUGGAAAGAAGUUAUUAUUAAGUCUAAAUAAUUAUUCCAAUUAACUUCUUUAUAGUUAAAAUCAGAUUUUUACCUUCGUUGACGUAAUCACAGGCUUGAUUAGGUUAGUUGCUACGACAUAAAUUAUUCAACCUUUUGAGGUUAUAUACAUAAGGUAAAGUAGUUGCUCAUAUACCUGUAGUAUGUCCCUAUCAAAUAUAAUCAUAGUGUUGGCGCCGCCUAAUGUUAUCAAACAAAGUUAAUUGUACUCUUAUGGUUAUUUUUUUUACCAUUCUGAUCUUAUUCUUUUACAUGCUAUGUGGAUCUACAUGGAGUUACUAAACUAUCCUAAAACAUUGUGGUUGUCAAGACUCUUGUUGCUGAAAAGAAACGACCCUGUGCAGACCAUACUUUGCCUCAGGAAAGUGGCUAGAUAAGAGCUGGAUGCUUCCCUAGUUUUGGAGUUCACCUCAGCUUACAAUGCUGCACCAAGUCACCCUCAAGCAGUCCUGGGCUCCGAGCAUGUAGGCAGAAGUUGAUUAUUUGGUCUACAUUCUCAACUUACUGCAGUUUCAGUUCUUUUUAUCGUUGGAAGCGAACCGGGAAUCAUUUAAAAAAUGUUUUUGCCUGCGGCAGUUGGUUGAGUAGAAAACACCAUAAUUAGCAAGCUAUUUUUUAAUGUACCAUUUGUACAUAGCUGUUUGGUAAAAGAAAUGUUUUACAUGGGUAGCUUAUGCAGCAAAAAACUUCCUUCGGUUGUACUAAGGAUUGUUUGCUUCUUUCCUGACGUGGUGCGCUAGAAUGGGUUACUUUCACAACUUACAUACCGUACCUCCAAUCUUAAGUUUCCAUAAUAUACUUUUUCA